rnacentral:sRNA from 1 species
GCUGUCGCAAAAUCGGCGGCCGGAAUUGGCGUUCCGUGUAACUUAUUGGCGACACCAGACGCGCCAGGCGUCUUUUUU